rnacentral:rRNA from 1 species
UACGGAGGAUCCAAGCGUUAUCCGGAUUUAUUGGGUUUAAAGGGUGCGUAGGCGGGACAGUAAGUCAGUGGUGAAAUCCUAUCGCUUAACGAUAGAAUUGCCAUUGAUACUGCUGACCUUGAGUACAAAUGAUGUGGGCGGAAUGUGCAGUGUAGCGGUGAAAUGCUUAGAUAUUGCACAGAACACCGAUAGCGAAGGCAGCUCACAAAAAAUGUAACUGACGCUGAGGCACGAAAGUAUGGGGAUCAAACAGG